rnacentral:rRNA from 1 species
GAUGAACGCUGGCGGCGUGCUUAACACAUGCAAGUCGAACGAAGCACUUGAAGUUUUCGGACGGAGAAUGACUGAGUGGCGGACGGGUGAGUAACGCGUGGGUAACCUGCCUUAUACAGGGGGAUAACAGUUAGAAAUGACUGCUAAUACCGCAUAACCCGCUAGGGUCGCAUGACCCGGACGGAAAAGAUUUAUCGGUAUAAGAUGGACCCCGCGUCUGAUUAGCUGGUUGGUGAGGUAACGGCCCACCAAGGCGACGAUCAGUAGCCGACCUGAGAGGGUGAUCGGCCACAUUGGGACUGAGACACGGCCCAA